CAGGCCAUUCUUGUCUUUUCUCUACUCUAGGGACUGUGUAUCCGCAUGCGGCUGCUAGGAUCCCAUCCGGCCUCAGAGUUCGAAGCUAACUGUCACUAAAGAAGCAGUGACUUAAUAUAGUUCACAAGCUCUUGCAUUUCAAGAAGAUCUGUGAAGAGAAUGAUGUUCAAUGGAAAAGACUGAAUUUCUACUGGCUGCAUUCAACAGGCUCCACCCAGCCCAUCUCUCCUGAUCUGGAAAUUUGGAAGAAGGUCAAACAGCCAGUAAGUUGCAAAGCGAGAAUCUGAAUCCAGGUGUCCUAACUCCUAAGCUCUUUUCAAGUUGAGUGAAGAGAUGUUCAGGACAAGACUGCUGGAAUUGGGCAUCUGAAAGAAAUCCAAAUGAGUUUUUGUGGAUAUUGGUGAAUGAAUUCAAAAGACAUCAGAGAGUCUAUCUGCUUGCUACAUGCUUGAUCAUCUCUAGCAAUUCUGAGUCUACAUCCUGUAGGCAUAUGUUUGAUUGAAUUAGCUCACCGAUAUGAAGGGAUGCUGCAUAGAAGUG